UCUUAUCAUUAGACUUGCCAC
rnacentral:siRNA from 1 species